UACAGAGGUCCCAAGCGUUGUUCGGAUUCACUGGGCGUAAAGGGCGCGUAGGCGGCCACCGCAAGUCGACUGUGAAAUCUCCGGGCUUAACCCGGAAAGGUCAGCCGAUACUGCGGGGCUAGAGUGCAGAAGGGGCAACUGGAAUUCUCGGUGUAGCGGUGAAAUGCGUAGAUAUCGAGAGGAACACCUGCGGCGAAGGCGGGUUGCUGGGCUGACACUGACGCUGAGGCGCGAGAGCGUGGGGAGCAAACAGG
rnacentral:rRNA from 1 species